UACGGGGGGAGCAAGCGUUGUUCGGAUUUACUGGGCGUAAAGGGCGCGUAGGCGGUCAGCACAAGUCAGUUGUGAAAUCUCCGGGCUUAACUCGGAAAGGUCAACUGAUACUGUGCGACUAGAGUGCGGAAGGGGCAACUGGAAUUCUCGGUGUAGCGGUGAAAUGCGUAGAUAUCGAGAGGAACACCUGCGGCGAAGGCGGGUUGCUGGGCCGACACUGACGCUGAUGCGCGAAAGCGUGGGGGAGCGAUCCGG
rnacentral:rRNA from 1 species